rnacentral:rRNA from 1 species
CUUGACAUCCCGAUGCUAUUCUAGAGAUAGAAAGUUACUUCGGUACAUCGGUGACAGGUGGUGCAUGGUUGUCGUCAGCUCGUGUCGUGAGAUGUUGGGUUAAGUCCCGCAACGAGCGCAACCCCUAUUGUUAGUUGCCAUCAUUCAGUUGGGCACUCUAGCGAGACUGCCGGUAAUAAACCGGAGGAAGGUGGGGAUGACGUCAAAUCAUCAUGCCCCUUAUGACCUGGGCUACACACGUGCUACAAUGGUUGGUACAACGAGUUGCGAGUCGGUGACGGCGAGCUAAUCUCUUAAAGCCAAUCUCAGUUCGGAUUGUAGGCUGCAACUCGCCUACAUGAAGUCGGAAUCGCUAGUAAUCGCGGAUCAGCACGCCGCGGUGAAUACGUUCCCGGGCCUU